rnacentral:rRNA from 1 species
UACGUAGGGUGCAAGCGUUAUCCGGAAUUACUGGGCGUAAAGAGUGCGUAGGUGGUUUUUUAAGUUAGAUGUUAAAUCUGCAGGCUCAACUUGUAGGCCGCGUCUAAUACUGAAAAACUUGAGAUCGGAAGGGGCAGACGGAACUCACGGUGGAGCGGUGAAAUGCGUAGAUAUCGUGAGGAACACCGAUGGCGAAGGCAGUCUGCUGGGCCGAUUCUGACACUGAGGCACGAAAGCGUGGGGAGCGAUCGGG